rnacentral:ncRNA from 1 species
UGAAACACGUUGAGAAGGAGAAGUAGAGACGCCGUUUCCAUUCCAGAGAGAACCUCGUCCGGUGAAAGAGGUUUAUGCGACAACUGUCUUGAAAUGCACCUUUGAGUCUUUUAUUGAACCUUCAUAUUGAAGCAGUAAAUAAAAGCGGAUGCUCCCCGUUAAAGGAGCCAAAGUUGAAACAGGCUUUUAACCGCCUGUUUAAACAGAGUGGAACCGCGCACAAAGCGUCUCUGUC